rnacentral:rRNA from 1 species
GAAUUUUCGGCAAUGGAGGAAACUCUGACCGAGCAAUGCCGCGUGAAUGAUGAAGGUCUUCGGAUCGUAAAGUUCUGUUAUCAGGACAGAACAGUCCUCAUAGGAAAUGAUUAGUAUUUGACGGUACCUGCUUCGACAGCCCCGGCUAACUAUGUGCCAGCAGCCGCGGUAAUACAUAGGGGGCGAGCGUUAUCCGGAAGUAUUGGGCGUAAAGCGUGCGUAGGCGGUUUAUUAAGUCUGAUGUGAAAUCCUAUAGCUUAACUAUAGGCGGUCAUUGGAUACUGGUAAACUUGAGUACGGUAGAGGUAAGUGGAAUUCCAAGUGGAGCGGUGGAAUGCGUAGAUAUUUGGAGGAACACCAGUGGCGAAGGCGGCUUACUGGGCCGUUACUGACGCUCAUGCACGAAAGCGUGGGGAGCAAACAGG